AUGGCGGAGGUGGGCACCAUCGGGAGGACCUACCACAUCAACCUCGUCCGCCUCUACGGCUUCUGCUUCGACGCCGCCGUGAAGGCGCUCGUGUACGAGUACAUGGAGAAUGGCUCGCUGGACCGGCACCUGUUCGGCACGCCGGCGCCGGAGGGCCGCGCCAUCGGGUUCGAGAAGCUCCACGAGAUCGCCGUCGGGACGGCCAAGGCGGUGCGGUACCUGCACGAGGAGUGCCAGCACCGGAUCAUCCACUACGACAUCAAGCCGGAGAACGUGCUGCUCGGCGCCGACAUGGCGCCCAAGGUGUCCGACUUCGGGCUCGCCAAGCUGUGCGACAGGGAGGACACCCACCUGACCAUCACGGGCGCGCGGGGCACGCCCGGGUACGCGGCGCCGGAGCUGUGGAUGCCGCUGCCGGUCACGCACAAGUGCGACGUGUACAGCUACGGGAUGCUGCUGUUCGAGAUGCUGGGGCGGCGGCGGAACCUGGAGCUCGGGCUGCACAGCCGCGAGAGCCAGGAGUGGUACCCGCGGUGGGUGUGGCACCGGUUCGAGGCCGGCGAGAUGGACGAUGUGCUGGCACGCGCGAUGGCCGCCGGGGACAUGGACGCCACGGAGAAGGCGGCGAGGAUGUGCAAGGUGGCGCUGUGGUGCGUGCAGUACCGGCCGGAGGACAGGCCAUCCAUGGGCAACGUCGUGCGGAUGCUGGAGGGGGAGGAGCAGAUCGCCACGCCGGGCAACCCGUUCGCGCACCUCGCGGCAUACAGCGCCGGCGCGACGCUGUCCGAUGACACCACCACGGAAUCCCACGGUUCUUCAGCUUUCACCGGCAGGUAG
rnacentral:rRNA from 1 species